UACGUAGGGUGCAAGCGUUGUCCGGAAUUACUGGGCGUAAAGAGCUCGUAGGCGGUCUGUCGCGUCUGCUGUGAAAACUCGGGGCUUAACCCCGGGCCUGCAGUGGGUACGGGCAGACUAGAGUGCGGUAGGGGAGACUGGAAUUCCUGGUGUAGCGGUGAAAUGCGCAGAUAUCAGGAGGAACACCGGUGGCGAAGGCGGGUCUCUGGGCCGUAACUGACGCUGAGGAGCGAAAGCGUGGGGAGCGAACAGG
rnacentral:rRNA from 1 species